AUCAUCACUUCCUGUCUGUCUGUACAGACCCAGACCUCUAUGGUUAAGUAGUGGCUAGUUCCACCCUCUGAUCUUCAGGCAAGCUUUAAUUGUUAGAGUAUAAAAAAGAUGUUGAUGGGCUGCUUGCAAACAGGAACUUGCGGGAUUUCCUUGUUUCAAAUUUGCAUUAGAGUAGAGAACCACAUGAGCAUAGGUCUGGUCAGAUUUGCUUAAGACUUGUCCAUGACCAGAAUUUAGAUUUUCCCAAUAGGUAUUCUAAAUAUUUAAUCAUAACUUAUGGUGUAUUGCUUUAAAGCACAAGACUGUGAACUUUAGUGUCAAACGAAUCUAGCAUAUUAGCAUUAGAGUUUAAAUUUAGUUGGACCUCAUGAAAAGUUCUGGAAGAUGAGCUAACUUAAAUUGUGUUGACCACUCUUGUUGCAAGAUGAAGGAAACCUUCAUUUGAAUUUCAGAAUUAAAGAAAUGUCAUUGAUACAAAGACCCAGCAGACAGACGUGAAAUACCCCAUAAUUAUGUUGUUGCAGAUGCUACUUGCUAACUUAGGAGCUACAUUUAACUUCAUGACAUUUUUGAAUGGAAUGAAAACCCAUAAGCUACUUGUCUUUGUUAUACAAUAGGGAGGGCUGGCAACCUGAUUUCUAAAUUUUAAGUCACAGCUCCAGCUGACGAAAGUACUGAGUGGCUUUUGGUUAUUUUGAUCUUCAAAAAUAGCCCAAAACAUGUUUGGGAUCAGGGCUACCCAAGUUUUCCAUGAGAAGAAUGAAUUCCAAGAUUAAUGUAGGAUUUUGAAAAUCAUGCUUGGUCCUGAAGUUUAGAGUUAGUGAUUGGAGCAGAAAGAUUUGGGGUCCCUGGUGGGCUUUGUUUGAGUUCGUGGUCUCUUGCUGUUACUUCAUGGAUUGUGCUAUCCUUCCUGGUGGAAGCAGUAGCCCCUACUGCCCCAUGGGUGGCUGGGACCCCAUCUGUGUACUUAGCUUUGCUGCCUAGCGCUCAGGCACAUCAUUGCUUGGAUAAGCAAUGCUUGCUUUCACUGGAGCAGCCUCACAGUUUCCAUAUACUUCAGUACUGCUGUUGAAACCAGGAGUUCUGAAAAACUCUUAUUUCUUAUUGUCAGACUGUUGUUCUCAAUACUGCACUUUGCUUUCUUGCCCUGGUAUUGAUAUAUGUGUAAAUACAUGUUUUAUAAGUAAAAUUUGUUAACUUCAUUAGUAUCAUUAACUUAAACAUAAAAAUGAAUGUAUCAUAAUUUGAGGAAAUGAGUGAAAUGCUACUUUGGCUUUGUAGAUUAAACUUUGGAGGUCAGUGAUUGUUCCAGCUUUUAAAAGGAUAGAAGGAAGCUUUCCAGGGAGACAAGAGCUCCGGUGCUGCGUGCAAAUGUUUGCGCUUUCAUUUUUCUGAGAAAGUUGCUUCGGGUACUUUGUAUUUGAGUGUCAUGUCAGAGGUUUCAUUUCACGAUUGUUUGCUCAUUCACAUAUAUUUUUAUUUUUAGCUCUAAGCAAAAGGCAUGAGGCCUUAGCCGAAAUGAGAUGGUUUGAGGUCAUCCGGUUUCUAGACGUGUGCAGUCACCUGGUCCUGAAAGCCCUCCACACAGAAUGACUGGUAACAAUAGCAGCAAAAACAUCAGAAAAUCACAGGCAAAUCAAACAUUUUAGGUUUGCAAUUUUUUUUGGUGAUGGCAUGUUCAGAAUCUUGGAUCCCUAAGUUGAAUGUUGGAAAUAUGUAGGAGCCUUGGAAAUUAUGUUGUUUUCAUAUUUUAAUGUUUUGGUAGGUGAAUCAGUAGACUAAUAUAUGUAUGUAAAGGAACUCUGUACUUGGAAGCUGACAGGUGCGUCUCAGGAUUGUCACCUGUCUGAGUGCUGUGCUCUGGAGACAGUCUGCUUUGGAGGUUCUCUGUGGACCUCUCAUGUUCUGGGCAAUGUGGGGUUCCUCCUGUCGUGCUUUGUGUCGCUGGUUUUCUUGCCUACCUACCUUGCAAUGUGAGCUGCUUAGAUCACAGGGAUCAUUGAUCAAGUGACAAUCUUAAAUGUAGUAAUUACAGAAUUUCUACCUGGAAAUCAUCUCACAAAGUCUGCAUUAGAAUAUGUAGGUUUUGUUUUGUUUUUAUAAAUGUAUGUGUGGCCAAUGCUGCCAGUUUUUAAAAUUAGACACUAUUAUCAACCAGAGGUGCUCACAUUGAGGGAAUAAGGCUGUUUGCUCUCACCUCCUUCCUCUCUCCCUCCUGUGAGGUGGAAAAGUUAGUGGGAAGGGCUUCAUGCUCUGUGCAAAGGGGAGAGACCAUGAAAGGCCUCAGUUUCCUGGAAGGACUAAUUUUCCUAAACAAUAACAACAAAAAUCAACAGAUUUGGCUCCCUUCCAAGUGUGGGCCUCUCUCAUGUAGAAUGUAGGUGGGAGAGUAUUCAACCACCGACAGAUGGAUGUGUGGUAUGAAGCACAUAUUACAGUGUCUGUAGUCAUUGGUGGUUGGUUGUCUUUUGCCUGCCUCCUCUGCACCUGCUGGAAUUCAAAGACUUGAGGAUGCUUAGUUACUUCAGUAAUUAACUCUGGAGCUUAGUUAAUUUAGUGGUCAAUAUGAGUGCAUCCCUACUCUUCAUUCAGUGGUCAAUAUGAAUGUGUCCCUGCUCUUUACACCCUGACUGGCGAAUAGUGAUUGUAAAGACCACAGUUAGAAAAACUUGGAAGGAUGAAGAAAAUGCAGGAAACUGGAGAUGCUGAAUAGUAAGUAGCUCAGUAGAGUUUGUGGUGCAUUUUAUUAUUGGUGACUUGUCCAUUGUUCCUGGAGUCCUCACAUGCCUGUAGCCACAGUUACCCUCAGAUUUCUGUAGAGGUUUUCAGAAACUGAAGGGCUAUGCUAUUGCCAGUGGCCCCCUUUUAAUUAAAAUUCAAUUACACCAUUUCCUCUCCUUGCCUUUCUUCCCGCCAGUCUUCUCCCUUUUCAAUGGGAUGAAUCACAUAAUACUUACGUAAUAGGAUGAACACUGGAAAACACUAAGUAGACUUGUUUUUAAUUGCUACAUAUCAAUGUCCACAUGUGUUGUCUAUUAGCUGCUUUCUGGUUACAACUGGCUUUUAAAAACUCUCCCUCCAUGGUAUUUCUGUCAAUAGAAGUUUCCUUUUAGCCAGUUCUAGCCACAGUAUGGAUUGGGCCUGGGUAUCUAAUAUACCCAGAAGGAAUUAGCCAGCCAGGAAAAAAAUUUGUCCCCACCAGAAUAAAUAUUUUAAAGACCCUUCAAUUCUGAAAACCAAGAGUACAAAUAAAAGAGACUUAAGAAAGAGAAAACUUAGGAGACUGAUGGUACAAAGUGAGGGUGGGCAGCACAUGGAACAUCACAGAGUGGAUCUGUGGAACCAGAGCUCAUCCUGGAGGGAAGAGAAUGCUGGGAUGUGUUGGACAGGAGGCAUUCCGUGUUGCCAUGGGUAGCUUUCACGAGCAUGCCAUGGUAUUUAAGAGUAGUGAGGCCAGUGUUUGAAAAUACUGAAGUAUUGCCUAAUGGUGAGUUUAAGUUAUUCUGGCAUGUGCUAAAUGUGUUUGUGGCUCAAUGGUUAAUUUAAUUUCAAAUACAUAUCUUAACUAUUAGAGAAAAUACAUUGCCAAUAAAACUUCUGUUCCUAUGUGUAACUUUACAAAAUAGUAUAGCGUGUCAUGUACAGUGGAGAUCUGAGGGCAUGGGUAUGGUCAUAAUGGCCACCUCCCAGAAACUUCUGAAUUCAAACUUUUAAGACUGUACUCAAUUUUGUUUUACUUACAGUACAAAUUAGAGAGCAUUUUAGUGUGUCUCUCAUGGGAAGUCUGUCCCUCCUGGGUCACUGUGCUUCACAGCCGUGGCAUAUCACAUUCCAAAGAGUACAGAUCUUUGAGUUUCAUAUAUUAACAGAGGGACCCAGAAAGGUGAGUGGAGCAGCAACCUACUGAGUUGGGGAAGUUGUAGAGAAACUCCACAUGGAAAUCCGCUGGAAGCUGGGGCCCCUUCACCAGCCCAGCCACAAUGGCAGAGCAUAUCUGUGCGGUUUCUGCACAGACAGGGACAUUGGUGUGUGAGGAUGCCCUGAUAUACGGGGUCCUGUUACAUGCUCUGACUUUGAUCUCCUCCCUCAGUGGUUCUCUGCUUCCAAAGGUGGGACCUCCAGGCCUGAAGGCUGUCCACUGCCUCUUCACACAGAAACCUGCAGCCACAAGAUGGAAGCCUCCUGGAGAAAGGGAGCACAUCCUGCAAAGGCCACUCCCGAGGACAAGUGGAGAAGGUGGAGCCUGAGGCAUAGGGCCUGGUGGUGUCUUCUGUUGAUUGAUGUUUCUUUCAUAAAGAGUUGAAUAGUAAUGCCUUUUAACAUGAGUAUACCGCCCCCCCCCAAAUUAUUGUUAAAAGUUUUCUCAAGUGUGACUUUUUAUUAUGUCAGGAUAGUAAGUUCUUGGUGUCAUAUAUUUGUUAAAUUAUGUAAUAGUGACUAGAGAUUUGGGACUCUGUUAUGACUUGUGAAUUUGAAGCACAUUUUCAGGAAAAUCAUCAACAUUUCCAGUCAACUCGUUUUCAUUCUUUUCAGCUUCUCUGGUAUGUAGUCCUUUCUGAGGUUGCCCGCUGGAGGAUAUUCCCCCCCCCCCAUUUUCUGUUCCUGUUCAGUGACUGCCUCUGGCUUUCACCACUCAAAGCCUAAUUUGUCCGAAAGUCCAUUUGAACAGCCUUCCUCUCUCCUUGGUGCAAUCGCAGGUCAUCUCGUACUGUACAGCUUCACUCUGAAGGUGAAGUCAAGAGGCUUGAAGAAACACUGCCACUAGGACUAAGUAGACAGAAGAGUGUCACCAGGGUGACACCAGCAGAGCUUCCUGGGUGGCCUGCUGUUUGUAUCUUGAUGAAUUUGACUGUCAUUUACAAACUGGAUGUAUAGACAUAAAGUAAUCUCUUAAGUUACAUCAUUAAUGUCAGUACCAGUCACCUCUGAGGCAUUUGUGUUUGUGUGUUCUAGAGUUGAUGACCCAUUCUGCUGCAAAGGAUCCAGGUUAGUUAACCAGGUUAGUUAACCAGGAUAUAGCAUUUAAUAGCAUCCGAGGUGUUUUAUGUCUCUAGAGUUUGCUGCUUUGGACUUUUGUGGUUUAUCAUCCACAAGAAGAGGGUACUGGAAGGAGAGCUUAAGUUGAUCCAUGUCUCAAACACAUGCUUUCUGUGGUAACAAUAAAAACAUUGAAUACAAAGGGUUCAAGAGUUUGUUGGAAUCCUGCUGCAUCUUUGCUGCUCCUCUUCCUAGACAAUUCCAUCAUGGUUCCCUCUAGUUCUUCAAGAUGGCUCUGUUUGGCUCCCAAGUCCACAUAGACGUAUCAACACAGAGUCCAACCUUCUUUCCCAUUGUCAGGUUGCAUUCGGCUGAAAACAGGAGCUUCACAUCAGCUUGCUGACUCAUUCCUGACCAUCUUCCUGAAGAGAAGUAGCACUUCUAGACACUGGGACCUUGGCUGUCUAAGGGAUGCCUCUAGAAAGCUCACAGUACUGUAUUCUAAACAUGGCCUCUCACUGCUAUUUUGGUUUCCAGGGGAAACUUCUCCAACUGCCGAGCUAUGAAGCCAAAAGGAGCCUAGCCUACCUCAGGCAUGGGAAGACCCAGAGCUGAUUUAUGACUUUGGAAGAUGGCUAGGACCUGAAGAGAGCUAGAGGACACUACUGUGUCUCCCUUGGUAGCUAAAACAAACAAAAACAAAACAAAAAAGAAUCACAUUAGAGAAAAUGUCUGUGUCAGCAGAAUUUGUCCAAACCAUAGGCCAGCUUUUUUAGGACCACAUGAACCUUCAUUGAACCUACAUUGACUAUCCAGGUGUGUUUGUAAGCUAUCAUGGAAUCCUUGGAAAACUUCGUUACACUAACAUUAAAAAUAAGAUUUUAAGUUUUUACAUAUACAUUUCAGAAACAAUACAGAUGUGUUUCUGUGGACAGGCUAUCCCGCUUAUAAUAAAUUUCUGACUCUUUCUUAAUAAAAAUUAAAUGGUUCAGUUAUUUAAAACCUAA